rnacentral:lncRNA from 1 species
UUUUUUUUUUUUUUAGGGUCGCACUUGCGGCAUCGGAGGUUCCCAGGCUAGAGGUCCAAUAGGAGCUACAGCUGCCAGCCUACACCACAGCCACAGCAACUCCGGAUCCGAGCCAUGUCUGUGACCUACACCACAGCUCAAGGCAACGCUGGAUCCUUAACCCACUAAGCGAGGCCAGGGAUAGAACUCGCAACCUCAUGGUUCCUAGUCGGAUUCGGUUCCACUGCGCCCUGACGGGAACGCCUCAAAAAAAAAAAAAUUUUAAAAAGGCAAAGGAUCCAAUUACAAAAUGGGCAAAAGAUGGAGUUCCUCAGUGGCCUAGCAUGUAAGGACUCAGCAUUGUCACUGCUGUGGUUUGGGUUCAAUCCCCGGCCCAGAGGUGGCUAAAACACACACACACACACACACACACACGAUCAGAACAGACAUUUGACUGAAGAAGGUAUAGGGACUGCAAAUAAACACAUGAAAAGACACUCAAUAUCACUAGCCAUCAAGAAAAUGCUCUCAAAAUAAUCAUCAGGAUACUCCGAUCUUUCUCCAUCUUUCCAAGAUCUAGUCCAGGGCUAACUUGCAAAGGUAGAACAGUAUUAUGUAUCAUCACACAGCGAAGGUCUUCCACAAAAAACUGUGGUUUGACUGUUUCACCUCCUGCCACAGUGCCAACAAGGCUUCAACCUAGGCCGUUCAUCCUAACACUGCUCAGAGCACUAUACCUGGAAGUGGGUCUCUGGCCCUCGCUUCAAAGUACAGGACUGCAAAACAAGGCACAAGAAACCCCAAGACAUUGUUCAUUCCUUGGGCCUGAGUCACCGCUCCCCUGUUCUGGGCAAAGGGCAGAGAUAGCAGGUUCUUAUCUACGCAGUCUUUUCUACUGUCUCAGUACACAAUCUGCACUGAGGUCAGGGAGCUUUGCCAAAGGGGAAGGGUGCACGGAUUAGUAUGUUCCUCCAAGAGAUAUCCUUCAUUGCAACAUGAGCUAUCAAACACCUGGAAGGAGGAGUAUGGUGGGGGUACUGAGUACGGUAGGGUACUGCAGGGUAGUCUACUCAAGGGUACCACCCUAAAGAGCUCACAGGGAGGUCUGGUACAAACAUGAGUAAGGAGGGAUACCGAGUACAGCAGUGUGUUGCAGAACAAUCCACUCAUCCAGGGCAUCAACCUGAGGAGCACAGAGAAAGAAGGUGUGGUGUGGUGCUCAACAGUGCGGUACUUACUGAGUACCGUGGAGGUGACGAAUACAGUGGGUGCUGCGGGUAAUCACUCAAGGGUCCACCCCAAGAGUGAGCAGAGAGGAUGGGUACGGUGGAGUAUUGAAUACUGCGGAUACUGCAGGGUGAUCCACUUAAGACCUCACCCCAGGAGUGCAGGGAGGAGAGUAAGAAGGGGUGCUGAGUAUUGUAGGCUACUGAGUACGGCGUCACCCCAAAGAAUACAGGGAGGCUUACAGGGGAGAUGGGGGGCCUGCGGGGUAAUCCGUCCCUCAAGGGUUCACCCCAGGAGCGUAAGGACAGUCCGAUCAGAAGCCGCCCCGUGCCGUCCACGCUGUGGGAAAGGCGUACUGCCCACAAUUCGCAGCCGCUUCUUCAAGGGCGCGCCACCCUUCCAUCCGUCCAGGCGGGCAGAGGACACUGCCGGGUGACUCCCACGUGACGCCUCCUCGACCUU